ensembl:rRNA 5S_rRNA 5S ribosomal RNA
GUUUAAGGCAACACAGCCUGGUUCACGCCCGAUCUCGUUUGAUCUCGGAAGCUAAGAUAGGUUGGGCCUGGUUAGUACUUGGAUGGGAGACCGCCUAGGAAUACCAGGUGCUGUAAGCC